CCGCGCUGCCGGCGGAUUGGGAAGUUUGACAAACCGCUCCAGAGGCCGGAGGAGGAGGGGGCGGGGAGGAGCGGCGGCCCUGCCCCCCCCCCGCCCCGUCCCCAGACGAGGCCUCACCUGUCGGCCAGGAAAAAUGAGACUUGAAAAUGGGCCAGAGUCGUCCUCCAAUGGGGAAAUUUGUCAUGGAGACACACCCAUCUCAAAUGUCCAGAAAUGCCACCUCUCUGGAGGAUGGUCCUAUCUGGGGCACGUCAGGAGUCUAGAAGGUAGACAGCGAAGGUGAGAAAGUAGAGAGCUGGCUCUCCAGCCCAGGAUGCAUGAAGGCGUGAGGGAAGGUGGCUAGGAGAAGCACCUAUCAGCAGCACAGAAGGGCCAAGUGAGCAGCUGCACGUGUGCACACAACAGUAGCGAGUGGAAUUUGCACCAUCCAGGUCAGAUGGAAAAUAGAAGCCUGGAAAAUCUGACAGUCUCAUUGAUUUGCUCGCCUUGCCAUCGCUACUUGAGAGGAGAAGCAAUGUGAUUUCAAAAUUGCAAUUAGGAGCCAGCCCGUUAAGGGUUCCUCUCAUGAGCUCCCGUGCUGUGCGGCUCCCAGGCCCACCUUGUCUCAUUUCCUGAGGAGUCCCAGGUUUCUCAACUGGGAGGAGCACUGUGGCUAUUGUUUCUAGUGAAGACACCACAGCUCAACCUCAGAAGGGACCUGUGAUGAUAAGAAAGCAUCCCGCAAAAUGAGAAUCCUUAGGCAGCAGCCUUCACCAGGAUCCCGUGGCAUUGCCCAUGUCACAGACCUUGGGGUCUGCUCUGCCUCAUUUUCUCAUUUAAUCCCCACAAACCCCGACGAGGUGAAGCGCACAAGAAUUUAUUGUCUGCCUUUGAUAGCUGAGGAAACUGAGCCUUAAAGAAACUGCAUCUCUUUGAUAAACAUUGGCAUGCCUAGUAGGUGCCGGGACACAAAAGUGGAGAGGACAAAGGCCUGCUCUUACAGACUUUGCCUUCCAGGGAGAGAGCAAAUAACCAAGUGAAAUGAUAGAAGUAAAGUAUGAUUAGGGGUAGAGUGAAUUGCUGUGAAGAAAGUGAUGCAGGAGAAGAGAACGGAGAGGUGGGGAUGUGGAAAGCCAAUGGAAGGCACCAUCAGGUUGAGAAUUUUGGAAGAUCACAAGGGCAGCUGUGUGGAUAAUGGGGUUAGGUGGGCAAGGGCGAGAUCAGGAGGCCAGUGAGUAGGCAGGGACUGUGGUCCUGGCAGGACACUGCAGUCAGUUGGCCUAGGGUGGUGGCUGUGGUGGUGAGUGAAGAUCUAUUUUGAAGGUAGGGCAUCUAAAAAGGAUGCUUUCUACUCCAGUGGGCUUUCCACAACACAACACAGCCUGCAGCCACAUCCUCACACCGACGUACCUGAAUCCCGAGUCAGCUGCCUCUCGGGGGGGAAUAAAGUUGGGAAAGAUGGGGGCUAAGACAGCAGCAGCAGAAAGCAAGGGUUCUGGAGAGGGGUACCUGUUCCAUAUGUGUGUGUGAGUGUGUGUGUGUGUGCAUGAGUUGUGACACACAUUACCAACUUCGGCCCUAUUUUAUCCAAUUAAUUGGCAAGGUUAACUUCCAGCCCACUUACCUCUGUUCUUUCCUUAAGCUCUUAGUCUGGCCCUUGUUUCUACCACUCUGCCGAAACCACUCUCUUCAAGGCCAUCCUCAUCUUCUAUGUUGCCCAGCCUGUGACCAGGACAAGUGGACCAGACAUACAAGUUUCCUGACACAGUGGCAUCUCAAGGGGUGCCUGAUGCCUACCUGCCUGGCACCACAGCAUGGAUUUCUGCACAGAUGCUACCUCUGCGGGCAGAGGCCAGGCUGACGUUUAUGUGGAUGUCAAGACCAGCCUUCAGUCUGUUUUCUGAUGCAACCACAGCUGCUGCAGGGCCCACCUCGUCUGAGCAGCUCGGCAGUUUGGUGUGGCUGUCUAGGUUUUGUCAGAUGGAACGUGAGCAGAAGCGAUGUGUUCUACCUCCAGGCCUAACCCAUAAAAAGCCCCUGGGAACACUCCUCCAUGCCUUUGCCGCUUCCAUAAGCUGGACACAGAUGACGAGGAGGAGCCAGGGAAAAGUGGAGCCACAAACUAGAAGGAGCACGAGUCCCAGAGUGACACUUCAAAGACUGCCAUGUGAGCAGGAAAUAAACAUCAAAUCAACUGUGUUGAAACUUUGCAUGUUGGACCUAUUUGUUACACAGCUUGGCUGACCCUAAUAUAAUUCCUGUUCUCAGGGAGUUUGCAGUCACAUUAAAAAGACUCAGGUGCACAAUUCUGGUACAACAGUAAGUGGCUUAGAAGAGGAAGUGGGUCAUAGAGUUUGGGCUUUCAGUUCUGAAGUCCUGGGCUACAGGUUCCUGGGCCUGUGACCUUCCCAUCUAAGCCCUUUUCUGGAAAAGUGGAGAAGAGUCAGAUUGAGGGAAGGCACUUCUGGCAGGGGAACAUCACAGUCAAGGGCUCACAAGCAGGACUUAGAACAAACAAAAGGAUGAGAUGAAUGUCAAUGAUCCUCAGAAGGGGAAAAUAAGAAAAUGGUCCUUAAAUACCUAAUAACUUUGGCUGUCACAGGUAGGACAAGGAUCAGAGUUCUAGAACUUCUCUCUCUGACCUAACACACCUCUUUAGUUCCCGAGAGUGGGGAGCCCUGAGCCUGGCGUGUGGGGUGUCAGUCUGCCUUUCUCUUCCAGCACCCCUUCUCCAGGCUGGUCCCUCCAACUGUUGUCUGGGUUUUAGGGGAUAAGUUCUUCCAGAAUCAGAUGCUUGAUGAGAAAAGCAGCCUUGCUCUGCUCCCUCCAGAGACCUGUGAAGAAGGGGAUUUCAUCCUGUUUCUGAGCUGAGGAUCCUGAUGGAGGCUUCUAAGUAUCAGCUGAAAUUCAGAUAUGGUCUUUGUGGUCCCAGUUCCCAGCUGGGCACUGGCAAGUGAGGCUGGGCUUGUACUGUCUGUUUCCAACAAGCUUGGGAACAGAGCAGGCUGCUCAUUUCCAGUUUAUAACUGAGGACCCAGAGUCCCAGGGUAGGGCCCUUGUCACACUCCAGCCCACACUGAUGGCAGAACCGCAGAGGUGUUCAAGGCAGUUUCCCCCUUGCUGGGGAAGACAGACACGGAUACUACUGUCUCUUGUUGUGGACUCUGCACUGCCCACACACCCUGACUGCACCCGAAUCGAUGGUGCUGCUCUGGGCACCCCAUGACAAGCAUCAUGGAGCAGGCACUUAAAAGCUUGGGUCCUGGGGCUUCCCUCGUGGCGCAGUGGUUGAGAGUCUGCCUGCCGAUGCAGGGGACACGGGUUCGUGCCCCUGUCCGGGAGGAUCCCACAUGCCACGGAGCGGCUGGGCCCGUGAGUCAUGGCUGCUGAGCCUGCGCGUCCGGAGCCUGUGCUCCGCAACAGGAGAGGCCACAACAGUGAGAGGCCCGCGUACCGCAAAAAAAAAAAAAAAAAAAAAAAAAGCUUGGGUCCUACCCCAGCUCCCUGUUUUGACUAGUGGUGUGACCUUGGCCUUCUUACUCCCCUCUCCUCUCACUCCCGCCCUCAUUCCUUCACAAUGAUUAUCUCACAAAUUUUUGUUAAAUUAGCAUUCAUUGUUUAUUAUAUAAAUAUUGUUCACUGUUGAGUCAGGUAGUAUACUAGGAUAGCUUGAUUGUUUCUAUCCUUUUUUUUUCUGAGGCCAAUUUGCCUGACUUUCUUUGUACAUGUGAUUAAGUUUUCCCACCCUUACAACCUCUCAGCAGGACUUUCCACAAGGUCGAACGUUUCAGAUGUUCCAUUGCUGUUGGAGGCCCCUCUGAGUCCUCUGACAUCGCAGUCUGGUUCCAUACUUGGGUGACUACACAGCUGCCGUCUGGAGUUCUUCCUCACCGCCAACCUGGGAAUUUCCGUCACCUCUUUCAGCCAUUGGAUUCCCUGCUUCCUGGAGCUUCUGUCUUUUCUUUCUUGGUUUAAUCCCUCCUUUCGAUGGUGCACAACCCCCAGUAGCUUUCUGAUAAUGUAGUUAUGAUGUCUGGGUUAAGCUGGUAGGGCAAAGAAGUUUCUGCAUCUUUUCCUGCUAAAUCAUUAUCCCACCCCCCACCAAAAAAAAAAAAAAAAAAAAGGCAAAUAAAUGAGAGAACAAGAAUGCCAAGCAGAAACACAAACCAUUGUUUUUUUACAAAAUGAGCUGACAGCCAUAACCUGAUAGUGCAAAGGAUAGAACAAAAAUGAGAGAGGCUCGGGACCUUGUUCUACUAUGUUUGCAGCGGCGCAGGAGCCAGUCUGCCAAGUGGAACCUCAGGACACACCACACGAGGCUUAGGAGACACCACGCAUGGCACAGGGACACACUCCAUGGGAGGAGUGUGUCCCCAGGCCCCCACUCAUGAGCCUGAGAUUUCCUCCCCAAUUCUUUUUGGAAGAUGGGAGGAUGACACUGUUAAAGGCUAGAGUGAAUAUCAAACCCAAAGCAGGGGGAUUUGGGGAAAGUCUGCUGCUAAGCAUAGGCCCCCAGCUUCCUCUCCAGUCUGGUUCAUGGAGCAGAGGCAGGUCAGGAGGCCACCUUUUCCUUAUGGAACACAAGUUCUAGGAAUUUUAACACGUGUAGAUUCCUGUAACGACUACUCUAGUCAGGAUACAGGAGAGUUCCAUCACCCACCCCCACAAAAUAAACCCACUCCCUCAUGUUUUCCCUUUAUAGACAUAGCCUCCCUCCACCCCAGACCCCUGGUAGCCACUGGUAUGUUCUCCACAAUGUGUCUCUUCAAGAAUGUCAUAGGGCUUCCCUGGUGGCACAGUGGUUGAGAGUCCGCCUGCCGAUGCAGGGGACAUAGGUUCAUGCCCCGGUCCGGGAGGAUCCCACAUGCCGCGGAGCGGCUGGGCCCGUGAGCCAUGGCCGCUGAGCCUGCACGUCCGGAGCCUGUGCUCCACAAUGGGAUAGUCCACAGCAGUGAGAGGCCCGCGUACGGCCAAAAAAAAAAAAAGAAAAGAAAAAGAAUGUCAUAGAAGUGCAGGAAUAAAGACGCAGAUGUAAAGAAUGGACUUGAGGACACGGGGAGGGGGAAGGGUAAGCUGGGGCGAAGUGAGAGAGUGGCACUGACAUAUAUACACUACCAAAUGUAAAAUAGAUAACUAGUGGGAAGCAGCUGCAUAGCACAGGGAGCUCAGCUCGGUGCUUUGUGACCACCUAGAGGGGUGGGAUAGGGAGGUUGGAAGGGAGACGCAAGAGGGAGGAGAUAUGGGGAUAUAUGUAUAUGUAUAACUGAUUCACUUUGUUAUACAGCAGAAACUAACACACCAUUGUAAAGCAAUUAUACUCCAGUAAAGAUGUUAAAAAAAAAAGGAGAACAAAAAAAAAAACAAAUUAGAAAAAAAGAA